rnacentral:rRNA from 1 species
CCUACGGGAGGCAGCAGUGGGGAAUAUUGCACAAUGGGGGAAACCCUGAUGCAGCGACGCCGUGUGAGUGAAGAAGUAAUUCGUUAUGUAAAGCUCUAUCAGCAGGGAAGAAAAUGACGGUACCUGAGUAAGAAGCCCCGGCUAACUACGUGCCAGCAGCCGCGGUAAUACGUAGGGGGCAAGCGUUAUCCGGAUGUACUGGGUGUAAAGGGAGCGUAGACGGCAGUGCAAGUCUGGAGUGAAAGGCGGGGGCUCAACCCCCGGACUGCUCUGGGAACUGUACGGCUGGAGUGCGGGGGAGGUAAGAGGAAUUCCUAGUGUAGCGGUGAAAUGCGUAGAUAUUAGGAGGAACACCAGUGGCGAAGGCGGCUUACUGGACUGUAACUGACGUUGAGGCUCGAAAGCGUGGGGAGCAAACAGGAUUAGAUACCCCGGUAGUC